rnacentral:rRNA from 1 species
AACGAACGCUGGCGGCAUGCCUAACACAUGCAAGUCGAACGGGAUCCAGGCUUCGGCCUGGUGAGAGUGGCGGACGGGUGAGUAACACGUGGGAACCUGCCUUUUGGUUCGGGAUAACCGCGGGAAACUGCGGCUAAUACCGGAUGCUCCCGAGAGGGGAAAGAUUUAUCGCCAGAAGAGGGGCCCGCGUCCGAUUAGGUAGUUGGUGAGGUAAUGGCUCACCAAGCCGACGAUCGGUAGCGUGGUCUGAGAGGAUGAUCAGCCACACUGGGACUGAGAUACGGCCCAGACUCCUACGGGAGGCAGCAGGUGGGGAAUAUUGGACAAGUGGGGCAACCCUGAUCCAGCAAUGCCGCGUGAGUGAUGAAGGCCUUAGGGUUAGUAAAGCUUCUUUUGCCAGGGGAAGAUGAUGACUGUACCUGGAGAAUAAG